rnacentral:lncRNA from 1 species
AUGCUCGCUGCCGCCACGCCCCUCCCUCCGCUAGCAUCGCCGCGCUUCCGGUCCCAGCAACGCUCCACGCCAGGCCUGCGGACCUGGGCUGCGGCCGUGGUCGGUGGGCUCCGGCGGGCUCAGCGUUUGAGGCGGCGGCGGGGGACUCUUCAUGAUGGUCUAACCUGGUUACAUGUCCUGGUUCCUUGGAAACCCUCACAUAAUCUAUGCUACUGUCAGAGUUAUCAAAUGGAGAUGUCCAAAAAUGACUACAUAUUAUGUCAGACCUCUUUCACGGAGGAGGGAAGCUUCCUGCCAAGGCCACCAAGAGCGGAGGACUCACGUGAUGAAGUAAUGAGCACGUGA